UACGUAGGGCGCAAGCGUUAUCCGGAAUUAUUGGGCGUAAAGAGCUCGUAGGCGGUUUGUCGCGUCUGCCGUGAAAGUCCGGGGCUCAACUCCGGAUCUGCGGUGGGUACGGGCAGACUAGAGUGAUGUAGGGGAGACUGGAAUUCCUGGUGUAGCGGUGAAAUGCGCAGAUAUCAGGAAGAACACCCGUGGCGAAGGCGGCUCUCUAGUACGGUACUGACGCUGAGACGCGAAAGCGUGGGGAGCGAACAGG
rnacentral:rRNA from 1 species